CCAUUGUCUAAGGGGUUAUAACAGGCCUGGGCAACUCCAGGUUAAGGCAGGGGUUAUAACAGGCCUGGGCAACUCCAGGGGUUCCAUUGUCUAAGGGGUUAUAACAGGCCUGGGCAACUCCAGGUUAAGGGAGGGGUUAUAACAGGCCUGGGCAACUCCAGGGGGUUCCAUUGGUUAAGGGAGGGGUUAUAACAGGCCUGGGCAACUCCAGGGGGUUCCAUUGUUUAAGGGGUUAUAACAGGCCUGGGCAACUCUAGGGGGUUCCAUUGUCUAAGGGGUUAUAACAGGCCUGGGCAACUCCAGGUUAAGGGAGGGGUUAUAACAGGCCUGGGCAACUCCAGGGGGUUCCAUUGUUUAAGGGGGGGGUUAUAACAGGCCUGGGCAACUCCAGGUGGUUCCAUUGGUUAAGGGAGGGGUUAUAACAGGCCUGGGAAACUCCAGGUGGUUCCAUUGUCUAAGGGGUUAUAACAGGCCUGGGCAACUCCAGUCCUCGGAGGCGUGAUUGAUGUCACACUUUUACCCCGGUCCCCAGCUAACACACUUAUAUAUAAUCAUAUAAUCAACCAAUCAUGAUCUUCAGUUAAACAUGCAAUGAGUUCAAAAAUCAGAUGUGUUUGCAAGGGACGGAGGGAAAAGUGUUAAACCAAUCAGACCCUAGGGAUGGGGGAAAAGUUGUUAAACCAAUCAGACCUUAGGGAUGGGGGGAAAAGUGUUAAACCAAUCAGACCCUAGGGAUGGGGGGAAAAGUGUUAAACCAAUCAGACCUUAGGGAUGGGGGGAAAAGUGUUAAACCAAUCAGACCCUAGGGAUGGGGGGAAAAGUGUUAAACCAAUCAGACCUUAGGGAUGGGGGGAAAAGUGUUAAACCAAUCAGACCUUAGGGAUGGGGGGAAAAGUGUUAAACCAAUCAGACCUUAGGGAUGGGGGGAAAAGUGUUAAACCAAUCAGACCCUAGGGAUGGGGGGAAAAGUGUUAAACCAAUCAGACCUUAGGGAUGGGGGGAAAAGUGUUAAACCAAUCAGACCUUAGGGAUGGGGGGAAAAGUGUUAAACCAAUCAGACCCUAGGGAUGGGGGGAAAAGUGUUAAACCAAUCAGACCCUAGGG